AGCGAACGCUGGCGGCAGGCCUAACACAUGCAAGUCGAACGAACUCUUCGGAGUUAGUGGCGGACGGGUGAGUAACACGUGGGAACGUGCCGUUAGGUUCGGAAUAACUCAGGGAAACUUGUGCUAAUACCGAAUGUGCCCUUCGGGGGAAAGAUUUAUCGCCUUUAGAGCGGCCCGCGUCUGAUUAGCUAGUUGGUGAGGUAACGGCUCACCAAGGCGACGAUCAGUAGCUGGUCUGAGAGGAUGACCAGCCACACUGGGACUGAGACACGGCCCAGACGCCUACGGGAGGCAGCAGUGGGGAAUCUUGCGCAAUGUGCGAAAGCCUGACGCAGCCAUGCCGCGUGAAUGAUGAAGGUCUUAGGAUUGUAAAAUUCUUUCACCGGGGACGAUAAUGACGGUACCCGGAGAAGAAGCCCCGGCUAACUUCGUGCCAGCCGCCGCGGUAAAAC
rnacentral:rRNA from 1 species